rnacentral:rRNA from 1 species
UACGGAGGGUGCAAGCGUUAUCCGGAUUCACUGGGUUUAAAGGGUGCGUAGGAGGGCAGGUAAGUCAGUGGUGAAAUCUUCGAGCUUAACUCGGAAACUGCCGUUGAUACUAUCUGUCUUGAAUACCGUGGAGAUGAGCGGAAUAUGUCAUGUAGCGGUGAAAUGCUUAGAUAUGACAUAGAACACCAAUUGCGAAGGCAGCUCGUUACACGAAUAUUGACUCUGAGGCACGAAAGCGUGGGGACCAAACAGG